UUGACCUCGGAUCAGGUAGGGAUACCCGCUGAACUUAAGCAUAUCAAUAAGCGGAGGAAAAGAAACCAACAGGGAUUGCCUCAGUAACGGCGAGUGAAGCGGCAAGAGCUCAAAUUUGAAAGCUGGCCCCCUCGGGGUCCGCAUUGUAAUUUGCAGAGGAUGCUUCGGGAGUGGCCCCCAUCUAAGUGCCCUGGAACGGGCCGUCAUAGAGGGUGAGAAUCCCGUCUGGGAUGGGGUGCCCACGCCCGUGUGAAGCUCCUUCGACGAGUCGAGUUGUUUGGGAAUGCAGCUCUAAAUGGGUGGUAAAUUUCAUCUAAAGCUAAAUACUGGCCGGAGACCGAUAGCGCACAAGUAGAGUGAUCGAAAGAUGAAAAGCACUUUGAAAAGAGAGUUAAACAGCACGUGAAAUUGUUGAAAGGGAAGCGCUUGCGACCAGACUCGCCCACGGGGUUCAGCCGGCAUUCGUGCCGGUGUACUUCCCCGCGGGCGGGCCAGCGUCGGUUUGGGCGGCCGGUCAAAGGCCCUUGGAAUGUACCGCCCCCCGGGGCGGCUUAUAGCCAAGGGUGCCAUGCGGCCAGCCCGGACCGAGGAACGCGCUUCGGCUCGGACGCUGGCAUAAUGGUCGUAAGCGACCCGUCUUGAAACACGGACCAAGGAGUCUAACAUCUACGCGAGUGUUCGGGUGUCAAACCCGUGCGCGCAGUGAAAGCGAACGGAGGUGGGAACCCCUCGGGGCGCACCAUCGACCGAUCCUGAUGUCUUCGGAUGGAUUUGAGUAAGAGCGUAGCUGUUGGGACCCGAAAGAUGGUGAACUAUGCCUGAAUAGGGCGAAGCCAGAGGAAACUCUGGUGGAGGCUCGCAGCGGUUCUGACGUG
rnacentral:rRNA from 1 species